UAGACAGAAGCCUGCAGGAUAAGGCAUUUAGCUGUUAACUAGAAUGUUAUGGGAUCAAGGCCCAUCUGUCUAG
rnacentral:tRNA from 1 species